GUGAUAGCUCAGUUGGAUAGAGUGUGGUGCUGAUAAUGCCAAGGUUUCAGGUUCGGUCCCCAUUUGGGCCA